rnacentral:rRNA from 1 species
UACGGGGGGGGGCAAGCGUUUGUUCGGAAUUACUGGGCGUAAAGGGCUCGUAGGCGGCCAACUAAGUCAGACGUGAAAUCCCUCGGCUUAACCGGGGAACUGCGUCUGAUACUGGAUGGCUUGAGAUUGGGAGAGGGAUGCGGAAUUCCAGGUGUAGCGGUGAAAUGCGUAGAUAUCUGGAGGAAUACCGGUGGCGAAGGCGGCAUCCUGGACCGACAUUGACGCUGAUGAGCGAAAGCUAGGGGAGCAAACGGG